UCACAAGAGGAGGAAAGAUAAUGCCACCUCUGCAAAAGACACUCCUAAACUACACAUAGAAGAGAAGUAGACCCCCCAGGACAGGCCUUCCCAUCAGAAUAUUGAGACCAAUCGGAUGCUUCUGUGUGGAAAGAAGAAUUGAGAGGUGGGCUUGGUACUCGGUCACCAUACAAACUGGCUUGAAUUCCAGGUUCCCAGGACGUGUAAGAAGUUCUGAAAGACCUUAGAAAGCUCAACUGUAGGAGAUCAAUAGUGCAAUUUAUGACGUAAAUUGAGACCUGUGCCCUUUGAUGAUCUAGUCUUCUUUGCUCUACCAGUACUCACAUCUCAUCAGGAGUAUUACCGCCUUGGAAAACACCUGAAUGAGAAACUGAAUGCCCAAGACCACAGAGCUCAGAGAUGAUAGAAACAGGAGCUGCAAGUCAAAGUUUCCUGAUUCUAAGACCAGAGCCCCUUCCACCACACUCCAGCUCAGCCUCACUACAAAAUUCCAGUUUCAUCCUGUUCCACACAGGACCCACAUGUCCUGCAGCCUGGGUCAACCCAGGUUUGAGAAUACUCCCCAAGAACAACUGAGGCAUGCUCUGAGAUGGCAAAAUGCCACUCAUGGAACCCAGGUAAAGCCUCCAAGCAGUUGUUAGUGAGGGACCAGCAUGCACACUUCAGAAUCUGCCAACUGAAGAAGUGAUUUUCAACAGAGAAACCCUAGCAAAACAGCAGUGUUACAAGUCACUCAGCCAUGACGGAAGCACUUUUUAAAGACUGUGCUCCAGUUAGCAAGUGUCUUUAGCAGACCCUAUGUACUGUUGUCACAUCUGUGUUCAAGAUUCCUCGUCCCCUCUUAAAAUAAGCCUGAAAGCUAAUGUAGUUAUACAAGGCAGCCAAAUUGCACAAAACUGUCAACUCUUCCUCCGGAACAGAUUAAGACCCUGCAGCCAACGGGAAGAUAUAACUGCUUCCCAGUUUAUGAGCAAUUUCUUUCCUUCCAGAUUUUUCACUGAGACUGGAGUCUAAACUCAAAGCAAUAAUCAUCCAACAAAAAUGCCUCUGGAAUAAUUGAGAUCAGUCUUAGGACAGCUGAGUCCUACUGUUUUUCAUGUUUGUACAUUUUUUACUCUGUGAUUAAUGGAGGAGGAGAUGAGAGAACAGAGGGUGGAAAGGGAGAAAGAAAAAAAAAUAUCACUUGACUCUGCAUACUCAAAAAUGUGGAAGAAGAGAAGGUGGAAGAGAGAUCGUGCCU